rnacentral:rRNA from 1 species
CCUACGGUGGGCAGCAGUGGGGAAUAUUGGGCAAUGGAGGCAACUCUGACCCAGCAACGCAGCGUGAAUGAUGAAGGUCUUAGGAUUGUUAAGUUCUGUGUUGGGGGAUGUACACAAUGACGGUACUCCAAUAGCAAGCCACGGCUAACUACGUGCCAGCAGCCGCGGUAAUACGUAGGCGGCAAGAGUUAUCCGGAAUGACUGGGUGUAAAGGGUGCGUAGGUGGUUUAGUAAGUCUGCGGUGUAAUUACGGGGCUCAACCUCGGCGCUACCGCCAAAACUAGUAGCCUAGAGUGUGGGGGGGGUAAGUGGAAUUCCUGGUGUAGCGGUGGAAUGCGUAGAUAUUAGGAAGAACUUCAGGGGCGAAGGCGACUUACGGGACUGUAACUGACACUGAGGCACGAAGGCGUGGGUAGCGAACAGGAUUAGAUACCCCUGUAGUC